rnacentral:rRNA from 1 species
AUUGAACGCUGGCGGUAUGCUUAACACAUGCAAGUCGAACGGUAGCAUGACUUAGCUUGCUAAGUUGAUGACGAGUGGCGAACGGGUGAGUAACGCGUAGGAAUAUGCCUUAAAGUGGGGGACAACUUGGGGAAACUCAAGCUAAUACCGCAUAAUUUCCUUGGAAAAAAGCUGGGGACCUUCGGGCCUGGCGCUUUAAGAUUAGCCUGCGUACGAUUAGCUAGUUGGUAGGGUAAAGGCCUACCAAGGCGACGAUCGUUAGCGGGUCUGAAAGGAUGACCAGCCAAACUGGAACUGAGACACGGUCCAGACUCCUACGGGAGGCAGCAGUGGGGAAUAUUGGACAAUGGGGGCAACCCUGAUCCAGCAAUACCGCGUGUGUGAAGAAGGCCUGAGGGUUGUAAAGCACUUUCAGUGGGGAGGAGAGUAUUUAGGUUAAGAGCUAGAAUACUGGACGUUACCCACAGAAGAAGCACCGGCUAACUCCGUGCCAGCCGCCGCAGUAAAAC